rnacentral:sRNA from 1 species
CCCUUUAUCGAAAAAACAUUAACACUCUGUUUUUAAACGAUUUAAAAGCACCAAAAAACAUUGACGACCUCCAAACUCGGUCUAUACUGAAAUUGCUGUGGAAAAUCUUCAGUGCCCCGUGGGGGGGAAAUCUCAGAAAUACAGGAAAGAUCAAUGUCCGAUACAGUAACAGGCACCGUAAAGUGGUUUAACGAAUCCAAAGGCUUCGGCUUCAUAGCUCAGGAGGGUGGCAGUGACGUUUUCGUGCACUAUAGCGCCAUUACCUCGAGCGGUUUCCGCACGCUGACAGAAGGUCAGCAGGUGCAGUUCACCGUCACACAGGGCCCUAAAGGCCCGCAGGCGGAAAAUGUAACCCCGAUCUGAGGUUAUUUUUCGCUCUCUGGCUCUCACGGGCACGAGAAAACACAAAAAGCCGGCAUCCGUGCCGGCUUUUUUGU